CACACGCUCUCCAGCACCUUCACUUGACGCAUUGCAGGUACAAUGCAACCAAUCACAGGGCUUGACUCUUACCAGCUAACCAUUGCAGAGUCCCUUUAGCCAAUCAGGCGCUCCUUGACAAAGCGCUGCCUCAGAGCCUCAGCACCGCUUCCGUCGGGUGCAGCCGUGCCAAUGAACGAUAACCUUCCGCGAGAGAAUAUAGGCCCUACCGGCAGCGAAGAAUCUUGUGGGCCAGCAGUACAUCCCUGAGGAGAGAACAAGAUGAGACAAACUAAAGAAAGAAGUGGGAGGAGGAGUAGGAAGGUAUCUAUGUUUAAGUGAUUUAACCCCAUAAUAAUAACAUAGUCUAUUUUGA